GUCAUACUCCAUCCGCCCGGAAUUACUUGUCAUCAAAAUCAAUGAAAAUGGAUGUAUCUAGAACUAAAAUACAUCUAGAUACAUCCAUUUCAAUGACAAGUAUUUCUGUACGGAGGUAGUACAAC
rfam:Triticum aestivum genome assembly, contig: Triticum_aestivum_CS42_TGACv1_scaffold_404769_5BL